UCAUUUCUAAUUGUUUGAAGAAUGCCGAUUUAAAUUUUUGCAACAUGCCUUAUGUCUUUGGGACAAAAAUAUCCCUCUUUUAUUUUUUAAAUAUAUAGGCUAGAUCUUGGUGACUAUAAAUCUGUUGAAUUAAGACCUCUCUUGUAUUCUUUUCUUAUCACAUCAAAAGUAGGUUGCCUAAAUUUCUAUUGGAAACAAAAG
rnacentral:lncRNA from 1 species